CAAAGAUUAAGCGUUGCAUGU
rnacentral:misc_RNA from 1 species